UGGGGAAUAUUGCACAAUGGGCGCAAGCCUGAUGCAGCGACGCCGCGGGGGGGAUGACGGCCUUCGGGUUGUAAACUCCUUUCGCUAGGGACGAAGCUUUUUGUGACGGUACCUAGAUAAGAAGCACCGGCUAACUACGUGCCAGCAGCCGCGGUAAUACGUAGGGUGCGAGCGUUGUCCGGAAUUACUGGGCGUAAAGGGCUCGUAGGUGGUUUGUCGCGUCGUCUGUGAAAUUCCGGGGCUUAACUCCGGGCGUGCAGGCGAUACGGGCAUAACUUGAGUACUGUAGGGGUAACUGGAAUUCCUGGUGUAGCGGUGAAAUGCGCAGAUAUCAGGAGGAACACCGAUGGCGAAGGCAGGUUACUGGGCAGUUACUGACGCUGAGGAGCGAAAGCAUGGGUAGCGAACAGG
rnacentral:rRNA from 1 species